AUACGGAGGGGGCAAGCGUUGUUCGGAAUUACUGGGCGUAAAGGGCGCGUAGGCGGAUUAUCAAGUCAGAGGUGAAAGCCCUGGGCUCAACCUGGGAACUGCCUAUGAAACUGAUAGUCUUGAGGCCGGAAGAGGAUGGCGGAAUUCCCAGUGUAGAGGUGAAAUUCGUAGAUAUUGGGAAGAACACCAGUGGCGAAGGCGGCCAUCUGGUCCGGUACUGACGCUGAGGCGCGAAAGCUAGGGGAGCAAACAGGAUUAGAUACCCGGGUAGUCC
rnacentral:rRNA from 1 species